GGAAGUGUCACAACUCAGUGGUAGGACAUCUGCUUUGUAUGCAGAAGAAGAAGAUCCCAGGUUUAAUCUCUGGCAUCUCCA